AGUGAACGCUGGCGGUAGGCCUAACACAUGCAAGUCGAACGGCAGCACAGUAAGAGCUUGCUCUUACGGGUGGCGAGUGGCGGACGGGUGAGGAAUACAUCGGAAUCUACUUUUUCGUGGGGGAUAACGUAGGGAAACUUACGCUAAUACCGCAUACGACCUACGGGUGAAAGCAGGGGAUCUUCGGACCUUGCGCGAUUGAAUGAGCCGAUGUCGGAUUAGCUAGUUGGCGGGGUAAAGGCCCACCAAGGCGACGAUCCGUAGCUGGUCUGAGAGGAUGAUCAGCCACACUGGAACUGAGACACGGUCCAGACUCCUACGGGAGGCAGCAGUAGGGAAUAUUGGACAAUGGGCGAAAGCCCGAUCCAGCCAUACCGCGUGGGUGAAGAAGGCCUUCGGGUUGUAAAGCCCUUUUGUUGGGAAAGAAAAUCAGCAGGUUAAUACCCCGCUGUUCUGACGGUACCCAAAGAAUAAGCACCGGCUAACUUCGUG
rnacentral:rRNA from 1 species